CCAAUCAUAUUAUCCUCUCUGGCGUCCAUGGGCGUGACUAACCGCGUCUGUCUGUUAAAGGUAGCAGGUUGUACAUGGCGAGCGGUUUACUCACUGAGGGUUGGUGAUUGGUGUAAUGGAAGCCGUCUCUGAACCGCAUUUAAUGACGGAGAACUACAGAAGUGGAGAGAAAAACGCAGCACUGAGCAACUUGUAGACUUCACACCCGACUGUAGAAUCCCUUCUAUUGUGUGCUGGAAGAUCGCUGGACUUGAAGCAACUCCAAAUGGUGGCCUGUUUGUCCAAAGCCCAGGCUGACCCCCCACCCCUUCAACCUUUGCAGCAAUGCUGGCAGCACUAUUUCCCAAAGACAACCUCUGGAUAUGACGCUGAGCACGUGCACUCAACUUCUUCUUUGGUCGACCAUGGCGAGGCCUGUUCUGAGUGGAACCUGUCCUGUUAAACCGCUGUAUGGUCUUGGCCACCGUGCUGCAGCUCAGUGUCAGGGUCUUGGUAAUCUUCUUAAAGCCUAGGCCAUUUUUAUGUAGAGCAAGAAUUCUUUUUUUCACAUCCUCAGAGAGUUCUUUGCCUUGAGGUGCCAUGUCGAACUUCCAGUGACCAGUAUGAGGGAGUGUGAGAGUGAUGACACCAAAUUUUACACACCUGCUCCCCAUUCACACCUGAGACCUUGUAACACUAACAAGUCACAUGACACCGGGGAGGGAAAAUGGCUAAUUGGGCCCGAUUUGGACAUUUUUACUUGGGGGUGUACUCACUUUUGUUGCCAGCGGUUUAGACAUUAAUGUGUGUUGAGUUAUUUUGAGGGGACAGCAAAUUUACACUGUUACACAAGCUGUACACUCACUACUUUACACUGUAGCAAAGUGUCAUUUCUUCAGUGUUGUCACAUGAAAAGAUAUCAUCAAAUAUUUACAAAAAUGUGAGGGGAGUUCUCACUGUGAAAUACUGUACA